rnacentral:misc_RNA from 1 species
UAUCAACAGGUAGUGUGGUAUCCACUCCUAAGGCUGGGUGAUUGGCUAAAAGCGCAUUGCUCUUCUCCUACUACCGACAGCGCGGCAACAGUGACAACAAACUCAAUCACAAUGUCCUCGUCAAAUAAGCAGACCGUGCGUGUCACUUACAUCUGGUUGUCCGGCAAAGAUUCACAUCAUGAUAUUCGCAGCAAGGACCGAACGAUGUACCUGUCUCAGGAGCAUGUUGCAAAGCACCCGAAGGACUUGCUUGCCAAUGGCGUUUUCCCGGUCUGGAAUUUCGACGGCUCUUCCACUGGUCAGGCGAAGGGGCUAGACACUGAAAUUCUGCUGAAGCCUGUUAAUGCGUUUCCGUGCUGCCUCCCAAGGACGUCGUCAAAGAUUCCGUGGAUCUUGGUGCUCGCUGAGUGCUACCUUCCUAGCGGCGAGCCGACAAGAGACAAUUCUCGUGCCACAGCUCGCGAAACAUUCGAGCAGUGCCCCGAGGAGCAUCCGUGGUUUGGCCUGGAGCAGGAGUACUUUAUCAUGGGACGUGAUGGGCGCCCUUAUGGAUGGCCCGCUCACGGAUUUCCCGCGCCGCAGGGGGCGUACUACUGCAGCACCGGCUCGAAGUCAGCGUGGGGUCGCAAGUUCUGCGACCAGCACUACGAGGUGUGCCUCGAGAUGGGGCUGAACAUAUCAGGCACGAACGCAGAGGUGACUCCUGGACAGUGGGAGUUCCAGAUAGGCCCCUGCGAAGGCCUCGAGAUGGGCGAUCAGCUGACUGUUGCGCGCUGGGUGCUUUUGCGUCUGCUGGAGGAAGAGGGUCUGGAUGCGGACUACCACGCGAAACCGAUUCAGGGUGACUGGAAUGGAAGCGGCCUGCAUACAAACUUCUCGACUGAAUCGACCCGCGCUGAAAACGGCCUUGAGGUCAUUCAUCAGUAUAUCGACCGCCUCAGCAAGACCGUUAGCAAAGAUAUCGUAUUUUAUGGAUCCGAGAACAACGAGCGGCUUACAGGCAAGCACGAGACGUCGAAGGUAUCUGAGUUCAGCGCUGGCGUGGGUACCCGCUGUACUUCGAUUCGCAUCCCCAACGCGGUCGCCAGUGAGGGAAAGGGAUACAUGGAGGAUCGCCGCCCUGCUGGUGAUGCCGACCCGUACUUGGUGACCUCGCGUCUUUUUGCCUCGUGCAUCGGCUUGGAGACACCGUCUCUCGAUCUGGCGUCUCCGACACACGAGAGGGACUGGAUGCGUAAUGCUUUCAAGUAAAGGGAAGCGACAGUGCGUAAGCUUGCGUCGGUAUCCCGCAGUCUCUGAGUUGUGAACUCUUUGGUCGACUCAUCCGUGUGACGAAAGUUCUAUUUUAAAUUGCUUUGGCGUAUUUGAAUUUGAUACCUUGUCCGUUUCCAAAUCGUAUUUACAACAUCAAUACCGAUCUUCGGCAGAGUUAGGGGGCACAAAGAAACACCGGCGAACAAAAAGUAUGUAAAGGAUGACAGAUAAAUGAUUCGCUUCUUGUACGGCUACUAUUGUGACUCUUUAUUGAGACUCAAGUGUGCUCAGCCAGUGCGAGAAUUUUUGCCGUUAUAAUUAAAAAAAAAACGGUGUGUUCGCAUCUCUGCCAUAUAAAACUCUUUUUUUUGCGUUGUUUUUUUGUUUCCUUUUUAUCAUUCACCCUUUAACCAAAAGAACCUAUUUUUCGCUAUGACCCAACUUGAUUGAGCCGUUGGGCAUAGAGACGGGCUUUGUCUUGAUUGUUUAAAAGGAGUGAGGUCUGUGAAAAGUAACACAACCGUGUAUGCUGUAGUAAGUUUGCUUUUUUUUUCGUUCCUCAAGGAGGAGUCCCAUCGAUAGCGUCUCUUUUCGGUACCGUUGAGAAUGUUUGGGGUCG